rnacentral:misc_RNA from 1 species
AAGAACACUUGGGGAUGUUGCUGGCCUGGAACACGGGCAUGUGCACUCCCUGAAACAUUCUGACGCUUUCUCACACACCUGUGCAUCCUUUGUAGGCGCGCCGGGGAGAUUGUUCAUCUCUUUCUCUCGCCUAUGUAUUUUUUUAUUUUAUACAAACACCAUCGAAUGUUUUGACCCAAAAAAAGUUAUUUGUUAAUAAUUAACA